rnacentral:rRNA from 1 species
AAGUAUUAAAGGUGCUGCCUGCCCAGUGAAAAACGUUUAAACGGCCGCGGGACUCUUAACCGUGCAAAGGUAGCGUAAUCAUUUGUCUCCUAAAUAGGGACCAGUAUGAACGGCUAAAUGAGGGCGGCCCUGUCUCUUGUAGUCAAUCAGUGAAACUGAUCUCUCAGUACAAAAGCUGGGAUAAUAACAUAAGACGAGAAGACCCUGUGGAGCUUAAAAAACAAGACCACUAAAAAGCCAUGAGCACCUAGUGUAACGUUUUUAAGUUGGGGCGACUUCGGAACUAAAUAAGGCUUCCGAGCAUAGAAACACCAUUUCUAACCAAGGCCUACAAGCCAAAAACAAAAACUGAUCCGGCUCAAGCCGAUCAACGAACCAAGUUACCCCAGGGAUAACAGCGCUAUCUUCUUCGAGAGUUCAUAUCGACAAGAAGGUUUACGACCUCGAUGUUGGAUCAGGACACCCAAAUGGUGCAACCGCUAUUAAAGGUUCGUUUGUUCAACGAUUAACAGUCCU